rnacentral:rRNA from 1 species
GACGUAGGGCGCGAGCGUUGUCCGGAUUUAUUGGGCGUAAAGAGCUCGUAGGCGGCUUGUCGCGUCGACUGUGAAAACCCGCGGCUCAACCGCGGGCCUGCAGCCGAUACGGGCAGGCUAGAGUUCGGUAGGGGAGACUGGAAUUCCUGGUGUAGCGGUGAAAUGCGCAGAUAUCAGGAGGAACACCUAUUGCGAAGGCAGCUCGCUGGGACGUAACUGACGCUGAGACGCGAAAGCGUCGGGAGCAAACAGG